UCUGAUUACAUGAUAAAUAGGGACAGUCGGGGUCCUUCGUAUUAAUUCGGGAAGAGGUGAAAUUCUAAGAUCGAAUUAAGACGUACUAAUGCGAAAGCAUUGGACAAGGAUGUCUUCAUUAAUCAAGAACGAAAGUUGGGGGAUCGAAGAUGAUCAGAUACCGUCGUAGUCCCAACCUUAAACUAUGUCGACCAAAGGUCAAAAAAUGUCUAAAAGGAUGACUUUUCUGGUAUUCUGUGAGAAAUCAUAAGUUUYCGGAUUCCGGGGGGAGUAUGGUCGCAAGGCUGAAACUUAAAGGAAUUGACGGAAGGGCACCACCAGGAGUGGAACCUGCGGCUUAAUUUGACUCAACGCGGGGAAACUCACCAGGUCAGGACACAGUAAGGAUUGACAGAUUGAUAGCUCUUUCUUGAUUUUGUGGAAAGUGGUGCAUGGCCGUUUUUAGUUGGUGGAUUGAUUUGUCUGGUUUAUUCCGUUAACGAACGAGACCUUAUCCUAUUAAAUAGUGAUCAUUAUUUUAAUCCAAAUUUAUUUCAAAUAUUAUUAUUUGAAAAAAAUAAGAUUGGAUUUUUUAUAAUAAUGGAAUUUAACUUCUUAGAGGGACAUUUCAUGUCUAAUGAAUGGAAGAUUGAGGCAACAACAGGUCUGUGAUGCCCUUCGAUGUUCUGGGCUGCACGCGUGUUACAAUGAUAUAUUCAAUGAGUAAAUAAACCUAACCCGAUGGGGUUUAUAGGGGAAUCUUUGAAAAUUAUAACGUGAUAGGGAUAGAUCAUUGCAAUUAUUGAUCUUUAACGAGGAAUUCCUAGUAAGUGUGAGUCAUCAACUCACGUUGAUUACGUCCCUGCCCUUUGUACACACCGCCCGUCGCUCCUACCGAUUGAAUGAUCCGGUGAGAACUUAGGAUAAUUGAUAAUUUUGACUGACUUAUAGUUAGUCUUUUACCAUAUUAAAAUUUGUUCAAACCUUAUCAUUUAGAGGAAGGAGAAGUCGUAAC
rnacentral:rRNA from 1 species